GUUAUAUUAUUGUCAAUAAAUUUUUUUAGUGGUAAAUUAGUAAAUCAUUGUUGAAGACAGGCAUUUUUUUAAUAUUUUUAAUGAGAAAUUAGGUUGCUGUCACAUUGACAUAUACUUUUAUCUGUUUUAAUUUAACUCAUUAGUUUAACUCUAUACACUUGGAUGGACAAAUUGAUGCAAGUACGUAAGUAUGUUUUCUGCUGAAAGUCCCAGUAACAAAAUUGUCAUUAAUGUAUUUUUUUAAAAUAGAUAAUACUGUAAUCGUUGUGUACUGUUAUCAUUUUGUACAGGAAAAACUUCCCAAGUUGGUGUAUAAAUAAAUGAAUUUGAAUCAGUGAUCAAAUAAAAUAGUUGUAGACCUAAUCAAAUCUUGGAA
rnacentral:lncRNA from 1 species